CGUAGGUAACCUGCCUGGUAGCGGGGGAUAACUAUUGGAAACGAUAGCUAAUACCGCAUAAGAGUAGAUGUUGCAUGACAUUUGCUUAAAAGGUGCAAUUGCAUCACUACCAGAUGGACCUGCGUUGUAUUAGCUAGUUGGUGGGGUAACGGCUCACCAAGGCGGCGAUACAUAGCCGACCUGAGAGGGUGAUCGGCCACACUGGGACUGAGACACGGCCCAG
rnacentral:rRNA from 1 species